GUAGGGAUGUCAUGCCUCCAAUACUAUCCUUCAACUCAAUCAAAGACAUACGAAUGCCUAAAAAAUGGCGUAGCUUUCUAAGCAUGCAAAUCUCCUUUGGCAUAUUACGAUUUUCAGUCAUUCUAUGUCUUAAAUCCAAAGUCUCUAGGUUCACGAGCAUGCCAAUGGAUUUUGGAAUUCCAAAAUCUCUUCCUCCAAUCAUCAGGAACUCAAAAUAUUUCAAGUGGUUCAAACUUCCCUAAUCAUUAGGAAUUUCAGGUAAAUACUCAUGCAUCAAAGCAAGCACCUUCAACCGCCUAUAUUUUGUAGGGAUUGUCUUUACAAAGGAUUUAAGUGAUGUAUUUGGUGUGAAAACAAGCAGUGAUCGAACAUGUGAGUUUUCAAUACUUUUCAUUAAAUUAUCAGUAGUUGCUAUUGAUAGGCGUCAAAUCAUUCCAGUUAAAGACAAUUGCUUGUCCUCAAUAAUAUUCUUGCAAAAACUUAAAUCCUCAUAUUUCUCAAGGAUCAUUGCAUGCACUAGAUCAUGUACACGACAACUUUUUACUCUUCCAUAUACUUGUUGAAACUACUUGCACCAAACUUCUACGGACCAACUCUAUUAAAUAUCCUUCUCCAACCUCUUCCAAUGUUCUUCCCUUGACUUCUUUCACAAACCCUUCAGCGAUCCAUUGGCGAGUCAACACCUUUGAACGAACUAUAUAGUCUUCAGGAUAGAAUCCAAAAUACAAGAAACAUGACUUGAGGUUGUAAGGUAAAUCAUGGUAACUAAAUCCUAAAUUUUUUCUUAUUGUGGAAUAUUCCUCUAACUCUACAUUUAUAUUUUCACUAAACUUAGACCAUUCAAUUGGAUUUCUAACUUUGCGAGAUAAAAUAUCACCGGUGACUACAAUUGCUAGAGGUAAUCCUUUGCAUUUUUCAACAAUUUUGGAAGAUAUGUCAAAAAGAUUUUCUGGACAAAAUCCAUCCAAGUCAUGGAACGCUUUCUUUUUAAACAAUUCCAAAGACUGUUCUUCAGAUAAACGUUCCAGCUCAUGCACUUUGCCAAAAGAUUUCUUACAAGCAUCUGCAACAUCCUUGUUUCUUGUUGUGAUUAAUAUCUUACAACCAUUUUUGUUAUCAAUCAUAGCAAAUUCAAUAUCAUACCAAAAUUGUGCCUCCCAUACAUCAUCAAACACUACAAACGUACCUUUUUCCUUGCAAGUAGUUUCUCACUUCAUCAACUAAUGGCUUUCGAUCCAUUUGAUGGAGACUUUGAGGAGGAUCUUUCCCUUGUUGUUUGUAAAUCUCGAGCAAAAUGUCCCUCAACAAUGUUUCUAUAUUGUAUGGUCGAGACACCGUGAUCCAUUCAUGACAAUCAAAGUGUUUAACGACCUUUCGGUUGUCAAAAAUUUUCUUGGCAAGAGUGGUUUUCCCCAGUCCUCCCAUUCCAACAAUAGAGACAACUGUGCGUUCUGCUCUUCCCUCUAUCAGCCAAUCAAUCAAUUUGUCUCGUGGCUCGUCAAAGCCCACAACAUCAGCUUCAUCCAAAUACAAUGGAGCAUCUCGAAGGUUCUGGAAUAAUGAGGUGUUUCUGUUUGUUGCAGAACUACUUGAUGGUUUAUCCGAAGAAGCAGAACUACUUGAUGGUUUAUCCGAAGAAGAUUGGAUGUGGAAGCCAUGAUCUUUUUCACUUGUUUCUUUUAUUUCUCUAAUUUGGGAUUUGAUGUUCUGAAUCUUGUAAGCAAUUUGGAGACGAAGAAUCUUAGUUUUCACCAAGUCAACGGCUCCAGCAGCACAUCCAGGAUCAGGAGCAUGUUGUUCCUCAUGGAAGAUAUAAUCAUCAAUGACAUCUUCCAUGUGGAAAGAUGCUUCUAUCAGCUGCUUGAUCAUGUCUUUGAUUUUCUUGUCUUCUACAUCAUCAGCCCUUCUAUCCGCAUCGUUGAUGAAGACUUCAAUUCUUUCAAGUUCAUCUUUCAAUUCUGCAAUUUCUUUUGGGACACCCCUAAUCAUGUUGAAUGCUUCCUUCAAGAGUGGAAGCAAGUGAUCACGGGCUAGUGGAAGCAAAUGAUGAUGAUUGAAGUUGGUGUGUCCUUUAUGAUAAAUUUCUGGGUCUGUAAUGUUUGGGGAAGUUUCUUAUACUUCCCAGUACAAUUUCUACCUAUUUGAUACUUAUGGUGAGUAGUACUUGAUACAAUUUUAAAUCCAAUCACUGCUAGAAAAUAUUUUAUGAGUGUUGUUGCUUUAAUUUGUAUUGUUAACUACUUUUAAAUUGUUUGUUAAAAUUAUUUUAAAUUCCAUUAAUUGUUAAAACAAUUUUUAUAAAAAGAAAUAAAAAACAAUUUAAAAACGUUUAAUUAAUUAAUUAAUUUUCGAAAAAUAAAAUUUAAAUUCUUUUUUACAAUUAUUUUAAUUAUUAAAUUUUAAUAUUUUGAUUUAUUUUAACAAAUAAAAAAUGUUUUUAAAAGAAAAAUCGUACACAAUUUGACAGGGGUUAACCCCUCGCACAGUCCCUGGCAUAUGAUGCUGACACAAUCUGCAAAAGUCUCGUCAAAUCUGCAAAAGUCUGUGUUGACUAGAAUGCGUCAGAAAAGCCUGCAAUCAUGCAGAUACACUUUGCCAGGGGUUCAGCCAGGGCCUACGCCAGGAGCGAAUUUGCCAGGAGCUAAAGCCCUGGCAGAGUCAUUUGCGACAAGCAGAUUUGCUGGUGAUUCAGCUCCUGGCAAAACCCCUGACAAACAUCCAUUUGCCACGGCUUUUGGCAUUUUGCUAGGGCUUCUGCCCCUGGCAAAAUGCAACAUUUCUUGUAGUGUUUAACGAUCUUUCGGUUGUCAAAAACUUUCUUGGCUAGAGUGGUUUUCCCCAGUCCUCCCAUUCCAAUAAUGGAGACAACUGUGCGAUCUGCUCUUCCCUCUACCAGCCAAUUAAUUAGUUUCUCUAUUGGCUCUUCAAAUCCCACAACAUCAGCUUCAUCCAUAUAAAAUGGAGCGUCUCGAAGGUUCUGCAAUAAUGAGGCAUUUCUGUUUGUUGCAGAACUACUUGAUGGUUUAUCCGAAGAAGAUUGGAUGUGGAAGCCAUGAUCUUUUUCACUUGUUUCUUUUAUUUCUCUAAUUCUGGAUUUGAUGUUCUGAAUCUUGUCAGCAAUUUGGAGACGAAGAAUCUUAGUUUUCACCAAGUCAAUAGCUCCAGUAGCACAUCCAGGAUCAGAAGAUUGUUGUUCCUCAAGAAAGAUAUAAUCAUCAAUGACAUCUUCAAUGUGAAAAGAUGCUUCUAUCAGCUGCUUGAUCAUGUCUUUGAUUUUCUUGUCUUCUACAUCAUCAGCUGUUCUAUCCACAUCGUUGAUGAAGACUUCAAUUCUUUCAAGUUCAUCUUUCAAUUCUUCAAUUUCUUUUGGGACACCCCUAAUCAUGUUGAAUGCUUCCUUCAAGAGUGGAAGCAAGUGAUCACGGGCUAGUGGAAGCAAAUGAUCACAAGCGCAGGAAAAUGCAGCGUCACACAUUUUAUCACACAUUUUGUUGUAUCUUUGAUUUUAAUUUGCUACUAGCAUUGUGAGUGAGAUGAAUGAUGAAGAAAGCUAUUAGUCCUUUCAUGAUUUAUAUCGCAUAAAGUCCUUUCAUUGUUCAAAUAAUAAUAACAAUGAAUAGUUUUUUAAAUGGCAAAGUUAUCAUAUAUAGAAAAGAGUAGAAAGAGUACUCUAACUCAAUACAAACAACACCCAAACCUCUGGAGGAAGAAAGGCCAGUAGAAGAAGCAAAGUUCACACAACAUAUUAAUUUCUUACAAUCAUUUCAAAGGAAAUAUCUCACAACAUAUAUUAUACAUCAUUAUUAAACAACUCAAUUUUCUUGAAUAAACUGACAAAUAACUAUACAUAACACUUUUUUUAAAUUGAGGAAGGGAAGUUCCAAAUCAAGAACAGAAAGAAGCAAUGCUGAUCUAGAAGUUCACUUGAAGAAAUGUGAAUCUCAAAUCCACUGAUGGCCAUCACCUGCAGUUCACACCAAAUUAUUAAUAUAAAACACAAUAAUGCAAUGAUUAGACAAUUGAAUGUAGGCAUGGAAUGGUAACCCUUAAGAUUUAGAUCAAAGCCCAAAAGUGAGUCAUAUGUAAAAUUAGAAUAAAUAAAUAAAAAAGUUAUUCAUAAGAAAAGUAACAGAGGCAAAAGUCAAGAAUUUGUUCGUUUUUUUUUUUACAAGAUGUCGAGAAAUUAUUUUACUAAAAAUCACAUAAUGUUUGUAUUUUGAUGACUCAACAAUAAAUAUUACUACAAAUAUUUUUUUCUUCAAAUUGUAGGGAAGCGAAUGCGUACCUUCAAAAUAUUAUUUCUACAAAGGGCACUUGCUUGAAUAUCCAAUGCUCUUUUCCUUCAUUAGGAGCAAUGCUCUGUUUAAGUUCAUAACUCAUCAAAUGAAGACAGAGAACUUCAAGCUUGUGUAAGUGUUGAAUGCCAGUUGGUAACAUCAUCAGUUCGGGGAUGGCUUUCAAAGUGAGCUUUCUCAGAGAACCCAAUGCACCUUCGUCAAUAAGGAUGUGACUCAACUUAAAGAAAUCAAAAAUAGCCAGGUUCUUCAAAUUCAUAAACCAUCCAUCUUCAAAAUGUAACCUCUCCAAUGUGUUUUCAACACUAAAAUCACCGGAGAUUUCAAGGGACAACAAGUUUGGCAUACUUUUGAGUAAUUUCAUUGCAUCAUUCCCUUCCUUCGUAAUCGUCACCUUCAACUUAACGAGAUAUUGGAGUUUUGAAAUCCACUCAGGCAAUUUCAAUAAAUACCCUAUAAGUUUAACACGUUGAAGCUUUGGUGGGGGUGAAUUCAAAUCCAUAUCAAUGAAUGUGUUAUAUCUGAUUCCUCUAAUAUUUAGUUUCUCCAAUUGUUGCAUCUUGUUGAUUGAGGAAGAUAUAGCACUCAUAUAUUUACUCCUAACACCGACCAAGCUUAAUUCCCUAAGCUGCUUUAGCUUUCCUAGCUCUUCUAUUAACUCUACCACUCUAUUAUCAUCUUCAUCUUCAUCAUCGUCUAAAUAAACCUCAUUUAGAGUUUGUAGGGAUGUCAUGCCUCCAAUACCAUCCUUCAACUGAAUCAGAGACAUUUGAUAGCCUAUAAAAUGGCGUAGCUUUUUAAGCUUGCAAAUCUCCUUGGGCAUAUUACAAUAUUCAAAGCCUACAUCUCUUAAAUUCAUUUGAUUCAGCACAGUACGAUUUUGAAUAUUUGGAGAUUUUAAAUCCAAAGUCUCUAGGUUCACGAGCAUGCCAAUGGAUUUUGGAAGUCUAGAACUUCUAAUUUUAAUCACCGCGGAUGCAAAAUAUUUCAAGUGGUUCAAGCUACCAAAAUCAUUAGGAAUAUUAAGCAAUUCCAUAUGAAUCAAAGCAAGCACCUUCAACCGCCUAUAUGCUCUAGGGAUUCUACUCACAAAGGAUUCAACUGAUGUUUGAGGUUCGAGAAUAAGCAAUGAUCGAAUACUUGAGCUUUCAAUAUCUUCCCUUAGAUUAUCAGAAUUGGAUGCUAUUGAUAGACGUCGAAUCAUUCCAGCAGACCAAUUUUUGCCCUUAAAAAUAUUCUUGCAAAAACUUAAAUCCUUAAAUUUGUCAAGGAUCAUUUCAUGCACUAGAUCAUGAACGCGGCAACUUUUUACUCUUCCAUCAAUACUAGUUGAAACUAC
rnacentral:lncRNA from 1 species